GUAACCUUCGGGUUGCGAGUAGAGUGGCAGACGGGUGAGUAACGCGUGGGUGACCUACCUUCGAGUGGGGGACAACCCCUGUAAUGGGGGCUAAUACCGCAUAACAUCCUGUUCUUAGAUGGACAGUGAUCAAAGCUGGCCAAGCUUCGGUUUGGCUAGUGCUUGUUGACGGACCCGCGUCCGAUUAGCUUGUUGGUGGGGUAAUGGCUCACCAAGGCUUCGAUCGGUAGCCGGCCUGAGAGGGCGGACGGCCACACUGGGACUGAGACACGGCCCAGACUCUUACGGGAGGCAGCAGUAGGGAAUUGUUCGCAAUGGGCGAAAGCCUGACGACSCAACGCCGCGUGGAGGAUGAAKAUCUUCGGGUUGUAAACUCCUGUCGGGAGGGAAGAAUAGCUUGUGGGUUAAUACCCCAUAGGCCUGACGGUACCUCUAGAGGAAGCCCCGGCUAACUCCGUGCCAGCAGCCGCGGUAAUACGGGGGGGGCGAGCGUUGUUCGGAUUUACUGGGCGUAAAGGGCUUGUAGGCGGUGGUCUAUGUCGGUUGUGAAAUCCCCAGGCUCAACCUGGGAACUGCAGCCGAAACUGGGUCACUAGAAGCCGGGAGAGGGAUGCGGAAUUCCAGGUGUAGCGGUGAAAUGCGUAGAUAUCUGGAGGAACACCCGUGGCGAAGGCGGCAUCCUGGACCGGUCUUGACGCUGAGGAGCGAAAGCUAGGGUAGCAAACGGGAUUAGAUACCCCGGUAGUCCUAGCCCUAAACGAUGAAUGCUUGGUGUGGCGGGUAUCGAUCCCUGCCGUGCCGGAGUUAACGCGUUAAGCNU
rnacentral:rRNA from 1 species